GGACCAGAGAUCAAGAUGGAUGAGGCCACCACCCCCCUUGUGGGUAUCAGGGGAUGGAAGGAGUCUCCAUGAACAGGCUCCACCGUCUGUUUGUCAGCUGUUCGCCUCCACAUGUUUGCUGAGGAAGGAGGUACUGAGGAGACCAAGCAAAUGAGCAGCCUCCCGGGGGCUGAUGGUUCGCGGGGAAACCCAGGCAGGUGCACACACACCACCAGGAAGAGCAGCCUCCAGGGCCCGGAGAGCCAGGAAGGAGGAGCUGCAGAGAAGGCAACGGACCCCUGGAGUCCACAAACUCACGCUGUGUCUGGUCCUGGCAGUGUCCCUGUGCGGUCAGGGUGUGACCCUCCCCCCGUAGGCAAGGGAGCUGAGGUUCAGAGAGGCCAAGCAGGUGUCCCAGGUCCUCUGACCAUUAGUGCAGAGACCAGGCCUCGUCCCGGUGCUGCAGGGGAGCAGGUGCCCCGGAGGAAGCCCAACACCUCGGCCACCUUCCAGUGCUGCCGUAUCACUGGAGGGCGUUUAUGUCUCCCAUCUUCAGCUUGGAGACGACGGUAGUAUGUGAGGAUUACGCGUGGCCGUCGGCGCCCAGCGCUCAGCCCGGAGCCUGGCACACAGCAGGUGCACAGGAAAGACAGUCCUGUCACCACGAUUUCUGGUCCGGUGUCCUACGCCCCUGGCCACACAGAGCAUCAGUGUGCAGACGACCAAACAUCUUCUGAUGCACCCCACUGUGCAGCCAAGUGGCCAAAUUUAGCACAGCUUGACGGCGCAGCCUACUUGACGUGGAGCUCUCGGGCAGCGGGGACUCGCUCAGACUUUCUCCUCUGGGUGUCACCCCACUUCCGCCAGAGUGUGCAAACACGCUCCAGACUGACGCCCUAAUGUCCCGAUAUAGUUUUCCCAGUGAUGGUGUUAAACAGCACGGCCUCUAUUUCACACUUGAAGUACAAUUCCUGAGCCUUUUCAGUUCAAGCGCAGUUGUGAAAAUUGGGGCAGGCCACCUGGCCGCCGAGCGGAAGAGCCACAGCAUCCCUUCUCCGCGCCUGGCGAGUUCCCACCCAGCGCGAGGGCAGGUGACCCGAAACGGGCUGAAGGCUUUCAUCACUCCAGUUAGCUAGCGUGUGGGCCUUUAUCUAAGUACGCCCAGCAAAACCACGGUCGGGGCAGGAGCCGCAGGCGGCCGAUGACACCAGGGCUCAGAGACCCGACGGGAGGGCACAGGCUGCUCCUGAAGCCGACUGGCUACGCCCCAGCACCCAACACGGAGCAGGGAAAGGUGCAAACAGAAGCCACGGCUAUGGGCUGGGUGCAGUCACCUCUCUGGGGAUGAGGGUCAACUUUUCACUCCAGGAUUUAUGUCACUUCACUCCCGCACCUUAGAUAAAGAGCUUAGGUUCGCCAUCAAGGAUUGCCAGCGAUGUCACCCCGGAAGCCCAGGUUCACCCAGAGAAUAGUCGCAGGUCAAGCCAAAUAGGUGGUCUGCAUGUCGACGGCUGCGGAAGGCAGCUCCAAGCCCCUACCAACGCUGCAGAGGAGUGACGGCCUCACAGCCACC
rnacentral:lncRNA from 12 species